GUCAAGAUAAACACUUGUUAAACAAAUGCACAGAUACCGGUACAAAAUUCUUAAACCGAUUUAUACUGAACACAUCAUCAGAAAGAGCAAGAACAGACCACUUCUAGAUCAAACAUAUAAAAAUAUGUAUAUUUCAUGAGUUUGUGUGUUACUGUAAUGUAAUUCGUUAGCAAAAUAAAGGCAAACCAGCUUUGAUGGAGAUGUGAAUAUGAGACUGCACAAAGUCUAAAUGCCCACUGGACUUAUGUAUUAUUUAAAAACUAUAUUCACAGCAGAUUUAUUAUUCCAUUUUCAUUUUUAAUUCUGUUAAAUUUAGGAACUGUGCUGGAAUUCAAAAGACAUUCUGAAUGCUACAUAAGCAUUGUGUGUGUGUGUGUGUGUGUGUGUGUGUGUGUGUGUGUGUGUGUGUGUGUGAUGAGUGUUUGCUCUGUCUUCAAAAGGUUAUUGAGGCGCUGAACCAGUACUGUCUCUAAAGUACACUAGUUACAUUUUAAUUCACUAGUUAAUAAUGAUUAUUCUGUCGUAAUAUUUAUUCAAGACAAAUGUUCAUGCGAGUCUUAAUACAUGUAAUAAAUAUUAAUUUCAGCAUUGUGCUUUGAUCCCUUUACUGUGUAAGUGAUGUUCAACAGCCCUCGAUGUUGAUGAUAUGAUCUGUGACUGAAGGGUUCUUUUGUGUCUGAGAUCAGAAACAAAAGACAUUAACAAUUCAAGUCCUUCAGAGUCUUUAUCAAAGCUCAGCAUUCUUCCCAUUAUGACUUUAAUUCAUUCUACCAAAGUACAAAAAUAAUUUAAAGAAAUUGAAGAUUACAUUACAAGUCCCCCUCAGCUGUUAAAGUGAAGGACAUUUGAGAAACACAUGAACACUGAGCCCUCAGUUGAGCCUGAUGCCACAAACACAGGAUCUAAGUCUAAUUUAAUUUCCCAACCCACUGAGCCAUACUAACCUCAGCAUGCAGACCAUCCAAACGAGCAGAUCUGGGGCUGCAGAACAUUCCAGAACCAGACAUUAAAGGGACAUGUCCUCUCUGAACUCCAACCACUGAGUUCCUUAUGGAUGAAUGCUGUAAUGAUUUUUUUUAAAAAUGUAAAAAAAAAAAGAUUUAUUGAUUGAUGGAAGCUUGUGGAUCGACUUUUAUAUACUAUUAACAGACGAGGCUCACGAAAUCACUGAUGUUUUGUUAGCUUUAGAAAACAAAUCCUUACUCAUCACUCAUUUUACAUGAUUCUGUUAAAUAGCUCACUCAAAAAUGUACAUAUAUCAUGUUGUCCCAAACCUGUGACUUUUCCUCAAAAGUUGCAUCAUAUCUCUAGACAACUCCUUACUAAGUCUUCUAAAUUCAUAGGAAUUGUGUGAGGAACAGAACUAACUGAAACCAUAAUUCACUGUAAAUCUCUCAUCACACUACAUAUGCAAACUUGUCCAUUUGCUUUCAGUCAUGAGACAAGAAAGAACACUGACAUCAUCAAACACGGCACUAAAAAUUACUAAAUGUAAAUGUAAAUGUUUUUCCUGUUUAACACUGUAAAGCUGCUUUGACACAAUCAGUAUUGUAUAAAGCGCUAUAGAAAUAGAGAAGGUGACUUGACUAUUUAGACAUAAAAAAAAUCUAACAAACUUUACUGCAGUCCAGUGUAACUGCUGUCCUAUCUAAAUUAAGGUAAAAUGGCACAAAUAAAAAGGAGCACUGAUAAGAGUGUGAAAGGCUGGUAGAGGUGGGUUCAGAAACACUGCAUAGUGCAGCUGAAGCUACUUACAUCUUUUGCAAGAUGAUAAUAUCCAAAAAUAAUCUUAGCUUGAUGGAAUCCUCCAGACUGGGUUGAAAACGGCAGCAGAGAAAUGCUUUGCUGCUGCAAGAUAAAAGUCACUACAAUGACGCAUCCCUUAUGAAACUUAUGAAAGCCCUGUGUAAGAACAUAAAAGGUUGUUGAUUCAGAAAUAUGUCAUACUUGUGCAAAUCACGUAUCAAAGGUGUCAUUUCAUGCACUUGCUUCCAGGACCUAGUGAGCCGCCUAAACUUGAAGGUGUCAAAGGUGUGAUUAUGACACAAAAAAAAAAAAACACUCUAAAAGGUGAUUAUGCUGCUUUAGUGAAAAUCGAAUGAAAAUUUUGCACCUAUUACUGGAUAUAUUCUUCAGCUGUUACAGAACAGGUGGAAACGCGUGGCCCGACAGUGAUCCAGAUCCUGUCCUGAUGGCACACAGAUUUGAAUCCAAAUGAUGAUAAAGCAUUUCAGCUACUUUAAGGAUAGAAUGUUCAUCUGAAACUCCCAUUAAACUAUUAGCUGGUAAAAAAAUGUGUCAGCUUGGGGGGGCUCGUCUGUCCUCAGUCUCUUAGUGUGUAAUUUAUAGCUGUUUAAUUAUGACUGUGUCGGAGCUCCAGGCAGAGGCUAACGUUUUUCUGUGGUAAUGGUGAAAUCCAUUCUGGAUUGUGCCAAACUCAGUGUGUUGCUUUAAAAUCAAGAACGAACACAGCAAGAACUGUGUGAAUUAAAAGUACAUAAACAACUUAACAAGCAUGAAUCAGUCACCAGAAACAUUUCAGUAUCAGAACAAUAUCCACAGUGGGACUCUUCUUGCUUUUUUUCUUGCUUGUUAGGUUUAGGGUUAGGGUUAAUACAUGUCAUAUACACCAUUUCAAUUGCAUCAUAACCAGGUAACAUAUUUAGGUUACAAAUCCAUUAUGGGAACAUUGUUUUGAAGUGUUUCUAAAAAGAUUAAAUGUGCAGUUUCCUUGGCAUGAUUUUAACAUUAUUUAAAGUUUACAAAAAUGUUUCUUCCGUUUCACCAUUUUUUACCUAAAGAUAAUGUUAUUUGAAUUUUCAUUUUUAAUAUUCUAAGAAUCUUAACAUGUGCAAUUUUCUGUUGUGAUUGGAAUGUUAUUUAAUGGUUACAUAUAAAAUAUUUAAAACUAACCCACUAAUAUUUUUCACCCAAAAUAUGUUUUUGAAUAUUUAUUUUUAAUAUUCUAAGAAUGGGAAAUGUUCAGUUUUGUUGUUGUGAUUAUUACAUUAUUUAAAGAUUACAUCAAGUGCAAAUAAGUCACCUUUAUUUAUACAGCGCUUUUAACAAUACAGAUUGUGUCAAAGCUUACUGUACAGCAUUAAUUAGGAAAAUAGUGUCUAAUGCAAAAUGACAAUAGUAAACACUCAUUUUUCAGUUAAAGGCAGUUUAUCAUUGAAUUCAGUGAUGUCAUCAUCUCAGUUCAGUUUAAAUAGUAUCUGUGCAAUCAAGUCGACGAUGUCACUGGAAAUGAAGUGUCCCCAACUAAGCAAGCCAGAGGAACCAAAACUCCAUCGGUGACAGAAUGGAGAAAAAACCUUGGGAGAAACCAGGCUCAGUCUGGGGCCAGUUCUCCUCUGACCAGACGAAACCAGCAGUUCAAUUCCAGGCUGCAGCAAAGACAAAUUGUGCAGAGGACUCAACUGGUUCCUGUGGUCUUGUCCCGGUGGUCAUCUGAGACAAGGUCUUUACAGGGGAUCUGUAUCUGGGGCUCAUCUAGUUGUCCUGGUCUCCGCUGACAUUCAGGGCUGUAGAGGUCCUUCCCAGGUGCUGACCACCAUCUGGGCUGGAUACAUACUGGAUCCGGGUGACUGCAGUGACCAUCUGACCUGGAUACAGACUGGAUCUGGUGGCUACGGUGACCUCGGAAUAAGAGAGAAACAGACUAAUAUAAGCGUGGAUGCCAUUCUUCUAACGAUGUAGCAAGUACAUCGGGUGUUAUGGGAAGUGUUCCUGGUUCCGGUUUACCUAAUUAAUGAAGCCUAAAAUAACAUCAUAAGGACUGAGAAUCUUGAUAUCAGAAUGUUUUUUCAACACUAUGAGAAUGUAUAUCAAAUAUUACUGAAGGAAUAAGAACAUUAAAUAAACAUUACUUUAAGAACAUUUUGUCCUAACAUUUAUUAACCUCAGUGAAAGACCCCCUAUUAAACAGAAUGAAACAGUUUCGGCUGACCUUACCUGAUGUCCCCUUUCCUCCUCCUAAUCUCUGGAGGGUCCUGCUCUCAUAUAUCCCAUACAGAGACUCCUGAUGUGGAUGUUUAGGGACCAGAGGCUUUAAUGUCCCCAUUCCUUUUGCCGUGAGGUAAUCGAUUGCACUCAGGGCCGCAGCUGAUGUGAUUUAUGAGCCUAUUUUUGCUGUUAUGCUCCAUGUACAAAUUGUCUUUGGGGAUGUAAAUUUGCCAUCUUCCUGCGUUCUUGCUGACUCCAGGGGCAAUUCACAAAAAGAAUGUAAUUUACUCAUGUUUUUCUUUUCACUGUGCUCCAGACACCUGCAAAUCACAUAAUGCAAGAGACUAAAAGACAGUUCACUUUAUCUUCAUUGGUUUGUGCUUCCCGCAUGCAUGCUGUCAUUAACACAUUAACACAUCACUCAUUUUACUGGCUGGGCUGAUACAGCUAUUAAUCUUGACAUAAAUAAAGAUGCAACACAAAAGCUCCACUUUUCUUGUUAAUCUACAGCAAAUAUGACAGCUGUAAACAAUCUAAUCUAGGUACGGUGAGAAAUGUUUAUCACUGCUGAGGCUAUGUUAAAGCAACACUGAAAACAUCAGCUUCUCUGUGGGGGAUUGCCUGUUUUUUAAUAGUUUCACUUGUGCAAUAUCACAUUAGAUCAGUGUAUACAUAUUGAAGAUCAAGUGACCAUGAACUAAUAAAUAAAUUAUGCUUAACUUAAACCCGAAAAAAUCCAAAAGUAGAUGGUAAUUAGCAUUUGUGUCAUAAGAGAAAUGAAACAUACAAACAUAAUAGACUUAUAAACAGAUGCCAGAAGCAUUAUGUUCACAGUGUUUAAAAGCAUGCACACUCAUAUGAGAGCAACGAUAGUCACGAAAACAACCAUGUGACCAGCAGACGCAAGUUAAUACAAAAUGAAUGAAUAAAUAACAAAAAGAAACAAAUGCAGAUGCAGUUAAGUCUGCAGUUUUACCGUGGAAUUAGGCUACUUUUGUGCUGUUGUUUUCCGCUGGUUGUUUUUUAGUCAGCAGGUUAAAUCCAUCUCCCUCCACUCCCCGGAAUGCAAUUUUGAUGGAGGGGAAAACCAUGGGGAAAAAAACGUGAUUGGGCUAGUUUUGAAUAGCUAUUGGGUUUUUUUUGUUUCCAGACCUGGCAAUCCUGACAGUAACCAAUUUUUCUUUUGUAUCUGGUUUUAGAUAAAAAAUGUUGGCUAAAUAAAAAAACAGACAUCGAUGCAAGAUCAAGAGUGUGAAAGAGAACACCUUGUAGUGUUUCAGGCAUUUUGCUGCCUGAGUAAAGUCCAGUAUGUCUUCCUCCGUCUGCAGCUUAGAAGUGUAAAUAUCCAAGGUUUGCCUUUAGCCCUGUUAUCUAAACAAAGCCCUACUGGAGCGGAUAUCUUAUCCACUUAGUGUAAACCAGUGGGACAAAGCAAGCGUUUGUCUAAAGCGUAUUGAAACCUAGGGAGUUGUGCCAUUUGGCUUCUUCUGAAGGCAGUGGUCCUUAGUGCUCCCCGGUUCUUCAGCAAGCCUUUAAUGACCUGUGAUGAUACAGUGCCUGUCUGAAAAGCCUGAAGGGAAGUCACUGCUCUCUGAGCUAAACCUUUAACCUUCACUGCACACAGAAAUAACUCUCACCUCCAUACAGACUGAGAUCAAUGAAUGGCCUAAACCAAGGACAGACCUUAAACCCCUGAGUCCUGCGGUGCCAGACUUCUGACUAAAUGCUCAUAUCUAUAUUGUUGCUUACUCUGACCAAGAAACCCAUGCUUAGACGGGAUGAGCAACUAAAAGUGUCCAAUCACUUUUUUUGUUUUUGUUGUUUUGUAUCAGGGUUCCUCAAAUCUUGCCCUGGAGGGCCAAUGCGCUACAGAGUUUAGCUCCAACCCUGAUCAAACUCACCUACCUGUGAUUUUCUAAUGAUCCUGAAGACACUGAUUAGCAUGCUCAGGAGUGUUUGAUUAGGGUUAGAGCUAAACUCUUCAGGAAAGUGGAUCUCGUGGGCCAGAUUUGAGGAUCCCUGUUAUAUGCUUUACAUGUCAGUACUGACACACAAAUAGCUGAAAAUGUGUAGAAACUCAGUAUGGAGCAGAAAAAAAGAAAAAAAUUUAAAUACUUAUUUCACAGACAUAAAUCAGAAAGCAAGAAACAAAGCAGAAUGUACUGUACACUUCUGUGAGUGGGUAUCUUGUUUAAUGUCUACAUAAUGCCUCAUAUCAAACUCAUAUCAAAUCUUUAAGUGAUUACUAAUCUGCCAAAAGCAGCAAAUCCAGAAUAUAAUUCUAGCUCUCUGUGCCAGCCUGGUAUGCUGUAAAAACAACUUUGUUUUCAUAGAUUUAUAAAAACACAAAUGUGGCAUUACUCAUGGUAGUUACAUAAAGACAGCCAAUCAGAUAAGAACAAUCCAGUUUUGUGUGCAUCAAUGUUUCAUCUAACAGAACAUAAAUCUACUGUACUGUGUACUGCAUGCUUCAAUGUGUUCAGAUAAAAUUAGGCUGAAAAUAUGUUGACCUGUUUUUACAUGCAAACAAUAAUAUAUACAGGAAGAAACAUUGUUCUCUCAAGAGACAGACAAGCCAUCAGACAGAUGAAGCACGUCAACAGAGCAGCUGGAAUGUAGGAGCGAUGGUUCAAUACUGUUUCCUAAGCUUACAUAUGAAACACCUUUAACUCUUAUCUUUCUUUUAUUUAGGUGAAAGAUCAACUCUCCUGAGAUGUUUACCAGUGAAAAUGUAUCAGUAUACACUUCUCACAAACAAAUGAAUAAUUAAUAAAACGUGCUGAUCAGUUUAAAAGAGAAGCUGUGAUUGGUCCUGAGCACUUUAUCAAAGUGAGCUGAAUGCAAUGCUCAGGCUCGCUAGGCUAAUUUUAAAGCACAUCUUGGAAUCAUAUGAAUACUAUAAAAGACAUACAAAUGAGUUGAUGAAUUAUGAAUACAGCAGCAUUAUGUGGGUGGAACGGAUGACUAGAGUAACUAAAACAUCUCAUUCUUUGAUAGAAUUACACCAGCAGCUUCAGUCAAUAUAAAAGUGAUGCUGGGAAACAUCACACCCGCCUGCAUCUUCAUUUCAGCAUGUGUAACUGAUGACAGGCAAUAAAAAAAUAUUCAGAUUCUGUAGAGUGUAAAGAUGAACAUGGCAAAUUGUUCAAGUUUAUAGUGUCGUACAUCCUGUGACUCAUGUAUGUUCAUCCUUUCCAAUCAUCCAUAAGGGAAAUAAAGGCAAGUCCAUUUUUAAGCAAAAAGAGAUUUGAAACAUCUUUUUACUCAAGAUGGACUGGAAGCUUUGGCCUACAAGAUGUGUAUCAUUCUUUUUGGAAAGCAAAAAUUCACAGAAAACACCUGACACUGGCAUGAGCAAAUGCUUCUUUACACUCACUUAAGUCAUGUAGUCGACCAUUAUUGUAUACCAUGCUUCAAUAAACAGAAAUUGUGAUUAUUGUAUGGUGACUGCACUGGGUUUAAUCCAUCAGAACUGCUGAGACAUAUGGGAAACCAGACUGACAGCGCUGAUUUCGCUAAAUGCUUUACAAUCUAAUGCAAUGACACACACAUAAAGCAUCUGUACAUGACAAUGAAUAGAUCAUUCACUUUGCUUUAUAACUAUAAAAGAAUAAACAGCAUCAUGGCCCACCCAUUCCCUUCCCUUCCUCUCACGGUC
ensembl:lncRNA